rnacentral:rRNA from 1 species
GUCUACGGCCAUACCACCCUGAACACGCCCGAUCUCGUCUGAUCUCAGAAGCUAAGUAGGGUCGGGCCUGGUUAGUACUUGGAUGGGAGGAAUUUUUACUGACAUCAAAA